rnacentral:rRNA from 1 species
GUGCCAGCCGCCGCGGUAAUUCCAGCUCCAAUAGCGUAUAUUAAAGUUGUUGUGGUUAAAAAGCUCGUAGUUGAACCUUGGGCCUGGCUGGCCGGUCCGCCUCACCGCGUGCACUGGUCCGGCCGGGCCUUUCCCUCUGUGGAACCCCAUACCCUUCACUGGGCGUGGCGGGGAAACAGGACAUUUACUUUGAAAAAAUUAGAGUGCUCCAGGCAGGCCUAUGCUCGAAUACAUUAGCAUGGAAUAAUAAAAUAGGACGCGCGGUUCUAUUUUGUUGGUUUAUAGGACCGCCGUAAUGAUUACUAGGGACAGUCGGGGGCAUCAGUAUUCAACUGUCAGAGGUGAAAUUCUUGGAUCAGUUGAAGACUAACUACUGCGAAAGCAUUUGCCAAGGAUGUUUUCAUUAAUCAGGAACGAAAGUUAGGGGAUCGAAGACGAUCAGAUACCGUCGUAGUCUUAACCAUAAACUAUGCCGACUAGGGAUCGGACGGUGUUAUUCAUGACCCGUUCGGCACCUUACGAGAAAUCAAAGUGCUUGGGCUCCAGGGGGAGUAUGGUCGCAAGGCUGAAACUCAAAGAAAUUGACGGAAGGGCACCACCAGGGGUGGAGCCUGCGGCUUAAUUUGACUCAACACGGGGAAACUCACCAGGUCCAGACACAAUAAGGAUUGACAGAUUGAGAGCUCUUUCUUGAUUUUGUGGGUGGUGGUGCAUGACCGUUCUUAGUUGGUGGGGUGACUUUGUCUGCUUAAUUGCGAUAACGAACGA